rnacentral:rRNA from 1 species
UACGAAGGGGGCUAGCGUUGCUCGGAAUUACUGGGCGUAAAGCGCACGUAGGCGGUCUUUUAAGUCGGGGGUGAAAUCCUGGAGCUCAACUCCAGAACUGCCUUCGAUACUGGAAGACUCGAGUCCGGGAGAGGUGAGUGGAACUGCGAGUGGUAGAGGUGAAAUUCGUAGAUAUUCGCAAGAACACCAGUGGCGAAGGCGGACUCG